rnacentral:rRNA from 1 species
UGUGGGAUGAGCCCGCGGCCUAUCAGCUUGUUGGUGGGGUGACGGCCUACCAAGGCGACGACGGGUAGCCGGCCUGAGAGGGUGUCCGGCCACACUGGGACUGAGAUACGGCCCAGACUCCUACGGGAGGCAGCAGUGGGGAAUAUUGCACAAUGGGCGCAAGCCUGAUGCAGCGACGCCGCGUGGGGGAUGACGGCCUUCGGGUUGUAAACCUCUUUCACCAUCGACGAAGGUCCGGGUUCUCUCGGAUUGACGGUAGGUGGAGAAAAAGCACCGGCCAACUACGUGCCAGCAGCCGCGGUAAUACGUAGGGUGCGAGCGUUGUCCGGAAUUACUGGGCGUAAAGAGCUCGUAGGUGGUUUGUCGCGUUGUUCGUGAAAUCUCACGGCUUAACUGUGAGCGUGCGGGCGAUACGGGCAGACUAGAGUACUGCAGGGAGACUGGAAUUCCUGGUGUAGCGGUGGAAUGCGCAGAUAUCAGGAGGAACACCGGUGGCGAAGGCGGGUCUCUGGGCAGUAACUGACGCUGAGGAGCGAAAGCGUGGGGAGCGAACAGGAUUAGAUACCCUGGUAGUCCACGCCGUAAACGGUGGGUACUAGGUGUGGGUUUCCUUCCUUGGGAUCCGUGCCGUAGCUAACGCAUUAAGUACCCCGCCUGGGGAGUACGGCCGCAAGGCUAAAACUCAAAGGAAUUGACGGGGGCCCGCACAAGCGGCGGAGCAUGUGGAUUAAUUCGAUGCAACGCGAAGAACCUUACCUGGGUUUGACAUGCACAGGACGCGUCUAGAGAUAGGCGUUCCCUUGUGGCCUGUGUGCAGGUGGUGCAUGGCUGUCGUCAGCUCGUGUCGUGAGAUGUUGGGUUAAGUCCCGCAACGAGCGCAACCCUUGUCUCAUGUUGCCAGCACGUAAUGGUGGGGACUCGUGAGAGACUGCCGGGGUCAACUCGGAGGAAGGUGGGGAUGACGUCAAGUCAUCAUGCCCCUUAUGUCCAGGGCUUCACACAUGCUACAAUGGCCGGUACAAAGGGCUGCGAUGCCGCGAGGUUAAGCGAAUCCUUAAAAGCCGGUCUCAGUUCGG